rnacentral:rRNA from 1 species
GCAGUCGCCGCGGGAAUACGUAGGGUGCGAGCGUUAAUCGGAAUUACUGGGCGUAAAGCGUGCGCAGGCGGUUGUGUAAGACAGGUGUGAAAUCCCCGGGCUUAACCUGGGAACUGCGCUUGUGACUGCACGGCUAGAGUAUGGCAGAGGGGGGUGGAAUUCCACGUGUAGCAGUGAAAUGCGUAGAGAUGUGGAGGAACACCGAUGGCGAAGGCAGCCCCCUGGGCCAAUACUGACGCUCAUGCACGAAAGCGUGGGGAGCAAACAGGAUUAGAUACCCCCGUAGUCCCUGUCUCUUAUAC